UACGUAGGGUGCAAGCGUUGUCCGGAAUUAUUGGGCGUAAAGAGCUCGUAGGCGGUUCGUCGCGUCGGCUGUGAAAACCCGAGGCUCAACCUCGGGCCUGCAGUCGAUACGGGCGGACUGGAGUUCGGCAGGGGAGACUGGAAUUCCUGGUGUAGCGGUGAAAUGCGCAGAUAUCAGGAGGAACACCUGCGGCGAAGGCAGCACUCUGGGCCGGUACUGACGCUGAGGAGCGAAAGCGUGGGGAGCAAACAGG
rnacentral:rRNA from 1 species